UUCACAUAAUGUCGACUUUUUAUUUAAAAUUAUGACUUUUUAAUCUAAAAUCAUGACUUUUUAAAAAUAUUAUCUCUGAUUAUGACAUUUUAUGUCACAAUUUUGACUUUCUUUUCACAUAAUUUCGACUUUCCAUCUCAUAAUUAUGUUUUACCAUGGGAUAUUUUUUCCAGUUUUUGUUUUUUCAGGACAUACAAAAUAUAUUCACUUUCAACUCUGCGCAGUUUGUAGCUUGUGACGUCAUCACGUCCACGCAGGUUAAGACUUCCGUAUGACGUCAUAAAGUACCCGUCUUGUUUAGCAGCAUGUGCCAUCAUCGGUGAAAUAACGGAAUAGAAUUGUACAAGAAUGGAAGAGCCGAAGGUGGACGAAGUAGACACGAAUGAAUUUACUCGUAUUUAUGUGGAAAGGACUUUGGCCAUCAUUAAACCAGACGCUGUCCACAAAAGUGAGGAGAUUGAGGACAUCAUCUUGACGUCGGGCUUCACGAUCCUGCAGAAGAGGAAGCUUCAGCUGAGUCCAGAACAGUGCAGUGACUUCUACAUAGACCAGCACGGAAAACUCACCUUCGACAGACUGACUGCUUACAUGAGCUCUGGUCCCAUCAUUGCCUUGACUCUAGCGCGGGACAACGCUAUAACCCUUUGGAAGUCCAUCAUAGGACCUGUCAAGGCCCCAGAAUGUCAUCCAGAAUGCCUUCGAGCAAAAUACGGCACUUGUGAGCUGCAGAAUGGCCUCCACGGCAGCGACUCCUUUCAUGUGGCUGAGCGAGAGAUCAAAUUCAUGUUCCCAAACACUCUGACAGUUCCCACCAGAGAAGAAACGGAAGAAUACUUGAGUCGAUACGUCAACCAAACGUUGCUGCAAGGACUCACUGAGCUCUGCAAGCACAAGCCGUUAAACCCCUGCGUUUGGCUUGCUGAUUGGCUCGUCAAAAAUAAUCCAAACAAGCCUCAAAUAAGUGACGUUGCUAUUGUGGAAGAAGAACAAUAACGUCUAGGAAGAACCAACAGGAAGGUGCGAUUCCAGGAAACGUUCAUUUAUCCAUCCAUCCAUCCAUCUUCUUCCGCUUAUCCGAGGUCGGGUCGCGGGGGCAGCAGCCUAAGCAGGGAAGCCCAGACUUCCCUCUCCCCAGCCACUUCGUCCAGCUCCUCCCGGGGGAUCCCGAGGCGUUCCCAGGCCAGCUGGGAGAGAUAGUCUUCCCAGCGUGUCCUGGGUCUUCCCCGUGGCCUCCUACCGGUCGGACGUGGCCUAAACACCUCCCGAGGGAGGCGAUCGGGUGGCAUCCUGACCAGAUGCCCGAACCACCUCAUCUGGCUCCUCUCGAUGUGGAGGAGCAGCGGCUUUACUUUGAGCUCCCCCCGGAUGACAGAGCUUCUCACCCUAUCUCUAAGGGAGAGCCCCGCCACUCGGCGGAGGAAACUCAUUUCGGCCGCUUGUACCCGUGAUCUUGUCCUUUCGGUCAUAACCCAAAGCUCAUGACCAUAGGUGAGGAUGGGAACGUAGAUCGACCGGUAAAUCGAGAGCUUUGCCUUCCGGCUCAGCUCCUUCUUCACCACAACGGAUCGAUACAGCGUCCGCAUUACUGAAGACGCCGCACCGAUCCGCCUGUCGAUCUCACGAUCCACUCUUCCCCCACUCGUGAACAAGACUCCGAGGUACUUGAACUCCUCCACUUGGGGCAAGAUCUCCUCCCCAACCCGGAGAUGGCACUCCACCCUUUUCCGGGAGAGAACCAUGGACUCGGACUUGGAGGUGCUGAUUCUCAUCCCAGUCGCUUCACACUCAGCUGCGAACCGAUCCAGCGAGAGCUGAAGAUCUUGGCCGGAGGAAGCCAUCAGGACCACAUCAUCUGCAAAAAGCAGAGACCUAAUCCUGCAGCCACCAAACCAGAUCCCCUCAACGCCUUGACUGCGCCUAGAAAUUCUGUCCAUAAAAGUUAUGAACAGAAUCGGUGACAAAGGGCAGCCUUGGCGGAGUCCAACCCUCACUGGAAACGUGUCCGACUUACUACCGGCAAUGCGGACCAAGCUCUGGCACUGAUCAUACAGGGAGCGGACUGCUUAGAGAGUACGGGGUAUCGGACUAUCUCCAUAUCAUCAAUUCUUAUAUGACACUGUGUUAUUUUUCCUACUUCCAAAAAUUAUAUAUUUUGUUUUAUUUAGGUUGAUUGAUAGUUUAUUGGCAUCAAACCAUUGCUUUAGUAUGUGGAGUUCACUCUCUACAGCAGGGGUGCUCCUUACAUCGAUCGCGAUCUACCGGUCGAUCUCGGAGGGUGUGUCAGUCAAUCACCAGCCAGGCAUUAAAAAAAUAGUCCUAAAAAUGAGCGAUCAUAAAUCUUCACUAUGACGUCACUUUCGUCACUUGAUUGACAUUCACGGCACCCGAGGGUCUUCUGAGAUGACGCUGGCUGCUGCCAGCUCAUUAAAAUGACCGACUGGAAGGCGAGAAACACUUUAUUUCAACAGACUCUGGCGCCGUACCUGUCGUCAAAACUCCAAAGACCGACUGCACAGUUGCACAAUAAAAGCUCUGCUUCAUCCUGCCUGCGCUACCAAAUUAAGAGUCUCAGAAAGCUGGCGUGCACAAGCUAGCAAGCUACGGAGUUUGCCGACAAUGUAUUUCUUGUAAAGUGUAUACAAAGGAGUACGGAAGCUGGACAAAUAAGAUGCCAAAAACCAACCACUUUCAUGUGGUAUUGGACAGAAAGGAGGACUUUUUUUCUCCUCCAUUCGAAAAUGCGGACGUUAUCAUCACCACUGUCUGAUUCCUAUCAAUGCAAGUCAUCAGAAUCAGUUGACAGUAGUGCAUCGGCUGGGAACAUCUCUGCGCUGCUGACCCGUCUCCGCUCGGGAUGGUGUCCUGCUGGCCCCACUAUGGACUGGACUCUUACUAUUAUGUUGGAUCCACUAUGGACUGGACUCUCACAAUAUUAUGUCAGACCCACUCGACAUCCAUUGCUUUCGGUCUCCCCUAGAGGGGGGGGGGGGUUACCCACAUAUGCGGUCCUCUCCAAGGUUUCUCAUAGUCAUUCACAUCUACGUCCCACUGGGGUGAGUUUUUCCUUGCCCUUAUGAGGGCUUUGUACCGAGGAUGUCGUUGUGGCUUGUGCAGCCCUUUGAGACACUUGUGAUUUAGGGCUAUGUAAAUAAACAUUGAUUGAUUGAUUGACAGUAGCUUGUUUACAAAUCCCCCGGUUUUAAGACUGUUAAAGACUUCCAAGCCAUUGUUUUCGAAUAUUUAAAAAAAAGACACCUCAGAAAGUACAUGUUAAUAAUAACAUAUUCAAGGAUUUCACUCGUGCAAGCUGGUUUGUGCAGUUGAAAGGCAAAAAGCCUAUCUGACUUCAGGUUAUGACAACGUGAAAGUCUUUCAUAACAGCCAGAUUUGAGUAUAGUUGGACUAUUAAAACCAAUGGUCAUAAACUUUUGACCAGAUGUAAGUUUUAAUUUAAAUUCAGUUUUGAAUAAACAAUGUUUUUGUUCCUGUUCCUGUUCCUGUUUCUUCCUUUUGCAUGUUGAUAGUAUCUUGUUUACAAAUCCCCCGGUUUUAAGACUAUGUUAAAGACUUCUAAGCCAUUG